rnacentral:ncRNA from 1 species
UGUUCAUGGGGAGCUCAGAGCUGAGAGGGUAAAUUGUACCGACCCAAAACCUGAACUGGAUAAUGCCAGCGUAGGGAUU